GAACGUUGGCGGCGUGGAUUAGGCAUGCAAGUCGAGCGAGAAAUUUACUUCGGUAAAUGGACAGCGGCGAAAGGGACAGUAAUGUGUAGGUACCUACCCUCUGAUCUGGGAUAGCUGCGGGAAACUGCAGGUAAUACCGGAUAAUGUCUUCGGACCAAAGGUGUGAUUCCGUCUGAGGAGGGGCCUGCAUCCUAUUAGCUUGUUGGUGAGGUAAUGGCUCACCAAGGCAACGAUGGGUAGCGGGUGUGAGAGCAUGACCCGCGUCAUUGGGACUGAGACACUGCCCAGACAUCUACGGAUGGCUGCAGUCGAGAAUCUUCGGCAAUGGGCGAAAGCCUGACCGAGCGACGCCGCGUGCGGGAUGAAGGCCCUCGGGUUGUAAACCGCUGUCGUUGGGGAGGAAAUGCAGGAGGGCUAUCCCUCUGUUUGACCGAUCCAAGGAGGAAGUACGGGCUAA
rnacentral:rRNA from 1 species